UGUAACUUAUAAACAGAAUAUCUGAACAAACCCCAACUGACAAAAUAAAUAAUUGUAAAAAAAAAUAAAAUAAAAUAAAUAUAUUUUCUCUGCUUUGCAAGCUCUUCUAACUACAUUUAAAUCUUAUGUUCAGUGCAAUUUUGUUAUCCCUUUUCAAUACAUAUCCUUUUCACUGUGUCUUUCUUUAAAUCCCUCUCCUGCUUUGUUCUCCUUCUGAUUGAUACUACUAGUUGAUGCAAGAGAUUUAUUUAGAGAUAUAAAACCAAAUCCAAUUAGCAUUUAAAUGCUAGUCAAAAAAUCACAAAAAAAAAGAAAGAAAAUAAAUAAAUAAAAACUGCCAAGAAAGCUUUAGUGAGAAAUGCCCGACUAUGAAAUGCCCUGAGUGUUGCACACAUGUAUAUAGUUCUGUUAGUUGCUAUACCUUUUGAUAAAGUAAAGCCAAAAGAAAGGAUAUCAAAAAUCCGAAAUAUUAACAACCUCUGAAAUUAUCAUAUGAAUCUCCAUAUUUAUUUUGAUAUCUCCAAGAGCUACUAUCGAUUAUUAUCGAUAACAGUGAAACGUCAUGAGCUAUCAACAAAAUAUGAAUAAUAAACAGGAUUGUAUAAGUUAUGGAAGAAUAUACUUCAAACCUAUAGCGUUUGUGCAAGAGAAGACCUAGAUCUAAAUCUAGAGCUACUCCGUUUGAUAUGCCUUCCCUUCCAUCUGUUACAGACAAAUUCCCAAAAUCACUAUACCCCGAAUGUGCUCAGAGCAUUCAAUAAAAAAAAAAAAGAAAAAUGAACUUAAUGUAAACACAAAGAAGAACCACAAAAAUUCAACUGGCUUUUCGGAUACAAAUCUAAACUAAUUUGCAAGUCUCAUUGCAUGGGGUGCGGGGGAUAACAGUUCGAGGACGUGGCCACAGAAAUUGCAACUUAAAAAUCAACUUCAGUCGGUUGGCAAUGUGGGUAACGGAAACGGAAAUGCGACCAGAGCACGACGGACGGCUUUAAUGGAGGCGGGGACAAUGAAUUACGACGCCACGCAACGAAAAACUGCAAAAGAGAAGACAAAUAAC